AGACAGGCUCAGAGAAGUCACCUGUGCUGGUCACUCAUUUACUUCUGACAUACUACAGGCUCCAGGCUAAAACAUCACUGGCCUCAAACAUGGGCUAUGUGGCUAUGUGGGGACAACCUGUCUGAAAACAUAAGACUGCAUCCAACAAGUGCAACUUGACUGAGGAUGGAAAUGGAAAACAGAGUAGUCACACUCACAGCUGACCACUGCUGUCUAAAGCAUCCUCUUGGGGCCAGUUCAGGAGAAAAGUGUUCUCCACGUGUCGUCAAAGCCAUGACAGCAUGUCCAUAGUCCCAGUGCUCAGGAAGUGGAGAUCCCAGGAACAAACCGGCUAGCUAGACUGACCAACCAAACAUGGUGAACUCUGAAUUCAGUGAGAUCUCGCAUGAAUAAAAAAGGUUUUCUUGUGGAUUCACCUGUAUAGGAGAGCCACUGGACAACUCAGCACAUACAUCUCAUGGGCCUCCCACAUCUUGCUAGGCACCUGCCAGGCAUGCCCUAACCUAGUAGUACAACUGAUUCUCCUUAGCAUAUAGGACAGCUUGGAGGAGGCAAACUGGAAAGAACAGAGGAGCAAGCAGCUGCUGACUCAAAGGACCCAGACAUCCUGUCUGGAGCAUGCGCCUGGAGCAUGCACCUCCCAAAGACAGCCCCUAGUCCAGGGUCUCUGGUGGAUGCUCAAACUAUUAAAGCUAGUGAC
ensembl:antisense 4930520M14Rik RIKEN cDNA 4930520M14 gene